AACAUCUACAAUCAUUUCCGUCGAUAUAAACAGUCAGUUUUGUUGCAGCUAGUUACUGCACCAUCAAUUUAUAGUUUUAUUAAAUUGGACACUCUUGUUGCUUUCUGGAGAGGAUAGGGUCUUAAAGGAUGAACUGCUUCAGAGGGAGUGUUUUAACUUUCGCUGUGUUAAGUAUUUUGUGUAAAGAAUGUGUGUCGUCUGCAACAAUAGAAGCGACUGAAAUCGAUUCAACUAGAGCGACAGUAACAUUCGAAAGAUCAUGUACUAGUGACUACGAUUGUAGAUACUCAUCAAAUGCGAAGGUCCGAGAUCAAAUUCAAAUAGCAUGCAAACAAGGAAAAUGUCAGUGUGAAAAACCAUUGCGCUUAAUUCAGGAUGCACCAGACUAUCCAGUACGUGUUUCGAAUGGCAACUGUAUGACCAAUUUCGAUGCACCUUGUGGAACCACAGAAGGCAUAACAAUUGUGUGUGAGGGUGAACAGACUUGCAUUGAAGGAAGAUGUCGAUCAGAAAUUCGAUCGCGAAUGAGGGACGAUUUUUGUAAUGAAGACAUUGACUGUCAAGAAGGACUCAAGUGUAU